rnacentral:rRNA from 1 species
UACCAGCACCCCGAGUGGUCGGGACGAUUAUUGGGCCUAAAGCAUCCGUAGCCGGUCCUACAAGUCUUCCGUUAAAUCCAACUGCUUAACAGGUGGGCUGCGGAAGGUACUAUAGAGCUAGGAGGCGGGAGAGGCAAGCGGUACUCGAUGGGUAGGGGUAAAAUCCGUUGAUCCAUUGAAGACCACCAGUGGCGAAGGCGGCUUGCCAGAACGCGCUCGACGGUGAGGGAUGAAAGCUGGGGGAGCAAACCGG